CCUACGGGAGGCAGCAGUGAGGAAUAUUGGUCAAUGGGCGAGAGCCUGAACCAGCCAAGUCGCGUGAGGGAGUACUGCCCUAUGGGUUGUAAACCUCUUUUGUCGGGGAGCAAAAGCCGGACGUGUCCGGCUGUGAGAGUACCCGAAGAAAAAGCAUCGGCUAACUCCGUGCCAGCAGCCGCAGUAAUACGGAGGAUGCGAGCGUUAUCCGGAUUUAUUGGGGUUAACGGGUGCGCAGGCGGAUUUUUAAGUCAGCGGUCAAAUCGUGGGGCUCAACCCCAUCCAGCCGUUGAAACUGGGGAUCUAGAGUGUGCGAGAGGUAUGCGGAAUGCGUGGUGUAGCGGUGAAAUGCAUAGAUAUCACGCAGAACCCCGAUUGCGAAGGCAGCAUACCGGUGCACAACUGACGCUCAGGCACGAAAGCGUGGGUAUCGAACAGGAUUAGAUACCCCGGUAGUC
rnacentral:rRNA from 1 species